rnacentral:rRNA from 1 species
AGCUUGCUGGGUGGAUUAGUGGCGAACGGGUGAGUAACACGUGAGCAACCUGCCCCUGACUCUGGGAUAAGCGCUGGAAACGGCGUCUAAUACUGGAUACGAACAAGAAUCGCAUGGUUACUUGUUGGAAAGAUUUUUCGGUUGGGGAUGGGCUCGCGGCCUAUCAGCUUGUUGGUGAGGUAAUGGCUCACCAAGGCGUCGACGGGUAGCCGGCCUGAGAGGGUGACCGGCCACACUGGGACUGAGACACGGCCCAGACUCCUACGGGAGGCAGCAGUGGGGAAUAUUGCACAAUGGGCGCAAGCCUGAUGCAGCAACGCCGCGUGAGGGAUGACGGCCUUCGGGUUGUAAACCUCUUUUAGCAGGGAAGAAGCGAGAGUGACGGUACCUGCAGAAAAAGCACCGGCUAACUACGUGCCAGCAGCCGCGGUAAUACGUAGGGUGCAAGCGUUAUCCGGAAUUAUUGGGCGUAAAGAGCUCGUAGGCGGUUUGUCGCGUCUGCUGUGAAAUCUGGGGGCUCAACCCCCAGCCUGCAGUGGGUACGGGCAGACUAGAGUGCGGUAGGGGAGAUUGGAAUUCCUGGUGUAGCGGUGGAAUGCGCAGAUAUCAGGAGGAACACCGAUGGCGAAGGCAGAUCUCUGGGCCGUAACUGACGCUGAGGAGCGAAAGGGUGGGGAGCAAACAGGCUUAGAUACCCUGGUAGUCCACCCCGUAAACGUUGGGAACUAGUUGUGGGGUCCAUUCCACGGAUUCCGUGACGCAGCUAACGCAUUAAGUUCCCCGCCUGGGGAGUACGGCCGCAAGGCUAAAACUCAAAGGAAUUGACGGGGACCCGCACAAGCGGCGGAGCAUGCGGAUUAAUUCGAUGCAACGCGAAGAACCUUACCAAGGCUUGACAUAUACGAGAACGGGCCAGAAAUGGUCAACUCUUUGGACACUCGUAAACAGGUGGUGCAUGGUUGUCGUCAGCUCGUGUCGUGAGAUGUUGGGUUAAGUCCCGCAACGAGCGCAACCCUCGUUCUAUGUUGCCAGCACGUAAUGGUGGGAACUCAUGGGAUACUGCCGGGGUCAACUCGGAGGAAGGUGGGGAUGACGUCAAAUCAUCAUGCCCCUUAUGUCUUGGGCUUCACGCAUGCUACAAUGGCCGGUACAAUGGGCUGCAAUACCGUGAGGUGGAGCGAAUCCCAAAAAGCCGGUCCCAGUUCGGAUUGAGGUCUGCAACUCGACCUCAUGAAGUCGGAGUCGCUAGUAAUCGCAGAUCAGCAACGCUGCGGUGAAUACGUUCCCGGGUCUUGUACACACCGCCCGUCAAGUCAUGAAAGUCGGUAACACCUGAAGCCGGU